UCGAGAAUAUUUGGCAAUGGGCGAAAGCCUGACCAUGCGACGCCGCGUGGUUGAUGAAGUCCUUCGGGACGUAAAAACCUUUUGCGCGUGAGGAAGUAAUUGACGUUAGCGCGCGAAUAAGGGGCUCCUAACUCUGUGCCAGCAGGAGCGGUAAUACAGAGGCCCCAAGCAUUAUCCGGAAUCACUGGGCGUAAAGGGUGUGCAGGCGGCACUGCUAGUCUUUCGUAAAAGCACUGGGGCUUAACCCCGGUACUGCGGAGGAAACGGCAGAGCUCGAGGACGCGAGAGGUAGAGGGAACUCAUGGUGUAGGGGUGAAAUCCGUUGAUAUCAUGGGGAACACCAAAUGCGAAGGCACUCUACUGGCGCGCUCCUGACGCUCAUACACGAAAGCGUGGGAAUCGAACGGGAUUAGAUACCCCCGUAGUCC
rnacentral:rRNA from 1 species